UACGUAGGUGGCAAGCGUUGUCCGGAAUUAUUGGGCGUAAAGCGCGUGUAGGCGGCCAGGUAGGUCGGUUGUGAAAAUUGGAGGCUCAACCUCCAGACGUCGAUCGAAACCAUCUGGCUAGAGUCCGGAAGAGGAGAAUGGAAUUCCUAGUGUAGAGGUGAAAUUCGUAGAUAUUAGGAAGAACACCAGUGGCGAAGGCGGCUCACUGGCCCGGUACUGACGCUGAGGCGCGAAAGCGUGGGGAGCAAACAGG
rnacentral:rRNA from 1 species